AAGAAUUUGAUCAUGGCUCAGAUUGAACGCUGGCGGCAGGCCUAACACAUGCAAGUCGAACGGUAACAUUUCUAGCUUGCUAGAAGAUGACGAGUGGCGGACGGGUGAGUAAUGCUUGGGAACUUGCCUUUGCGAGGGGGAUAACAGUUGGAAACGACUGCUAAUACCGCAUAAUGUCUUCGGACCAAACGGGGCUUAGGCUCCGGCGCAAAGAGAGGCCCAAGUGAGAUUAGCUAGUUGGUAAGGUAACGGCUUACCAAGGCGACGAUCUCUAGCUGUUCUGAGAGGAAGAUCAGCCACACUGGGACUGAGACACGGCCCAGACUCCUACGGGAGGCAGCAGUGGGGAAUAUUGCACAAUGGGGGAAACCCAGAUGCAGCCAUGCCGCGUGUGUGAAGAAGGCCUUCGGGUUGUAAAGCACUUUCAGUUGUGAGGAAAAGUUAGUAGUUAAUACCUGCUAGCCGUGACGUUAACAACAGAAGAAGCACCGGCUAACUCCGUGCCAGCAGCCGCGGUAAUACGGAGGGUGCGAGCGUUAAUCGGAAUUACUGGGCGUAAAGCGCACGCAGGCGGUUUGUUAAGCUAGAUGUGAAAGCCCCGGGCUCAACCUGGGAUGGUCAUUUAGAACUGGCAGACUAGAGUCUUGGAG
rnacentral:rRNA from 1 species